rnacentral:rRNA from 1 species
AGAGUUUGAUCCUGGCUCAGAUUGAACGCUGGCGGAACGCUUUACACAUGCAAGUCGAACGGUAACGCGGAGAGAAGCUUGCUUCUCUCCGGCGACGAGUGGCGAACGGGUGAGUAAUACAUCGGAACGUGUCCGCUCGUGGGGGACAACCAGCCGAAAGGUUGGCUAAUACCGCAUGAGUUCUACGGAAGAAAGAGGGGGACCCGCAAGGGCCUCUCGCGAGCGGAGCGGCCGAUGACUGAUUAGCCGGUUGGUGAGGUAACGGCUCACCAAAGCAACGAUCAGUAGCUGGUCUGAGAGGACGACCAGCCACACUGGGACUGAGACACGGCCCAGACUCCUACGGGAGGCAGCAGUGGGGAAUUUUGGACAAUGGGCGCAAGCCUGAUCCAGCUAUUCCGCGUGUGGGAUGAAGGCCCUCGGGUUGUAAACCACUUUUGUAGAGAACGAAAAGACACCUUCGAAUAAAGGGUGUUGCUGACGGUACUCUAAGAAUAAGCACCGGCUAACUACGUGCCAGCAGCCGCGGUAAUACGUAGGGUGCGAGCGUUAAUCGGAAUUACUGGGCGUAAAGGGUGCGCAGGCGGUUGAGUAAGACAGAUGUGAAAUCCCCGAGCUUAACUCGGGAAUGGCAUAUGUGACUGCUCGACUAGAGUGUGUCAGAGGGAGGUGGAAUUCCACGUGUAGCAGUGAAAUGCGUAGAUAUGUGGAAGAACACCGAUGGCGAAGGCAGCCUCCUGGGACAUAACUGACGCUCAGGCACGAAAGCGUGGGGAGCAAACAGGAUUAGAUACCCUGGUAGUCCACGCCCUAAACGAUGUUAACUAGUUGUUGGGAAGUAAUAUUCUCAGUAACGCAGCCAACGCGAGAAGUUAACCGCCUGGGAAGUACGGUCGCAAGACUAAAACUCAAAGGAAUUGACGGGGACCCGCACAAGCGGUGGAUGAUGUGGAUUAAUUCGAUGCAACGCGAAAAACCUUACCUACCCUUGACAUGUCAGGAAUCCCGAAGAGAUUUGGGAGUGCUCGA